rnacentral:rRNA from 1 species
CAGCCGCCGCGGUAAUACGUAGGUGGCAAGCGUUGUCCGGAAUUAUUGGGCGUAAAGGGCUCGCAGGCGGUUUCUUAAGUCUGAUGUGAAAGCCCCCGGCUCAACCGGGGAGGGUCAUUGGAAACUGGGAAGCUUGAGUGCAGAAGAGGAGAGUGGAAUUCCACGUGUAGCGGUGAAAUGCGUAGAGAUGUGGAGGAACACCAGUGGCGAAGGCGACUCUCUGGUCUGUAACUGACGCUGAGGAGCGAAAGCGUGGGGAGCGAACAGGAUUAGAUACCCGAGUAGUCCCUGUCUCUUAUAC